ACGAACGCUGGCGGCGUGCUUAACACAUGCAAGUCGAACGAAGAGCGACGGAAGCUUGCUUCUAUCAAUCUUAGUGGCGAACGGGUGAGUAACGCGUAAUCAACCUGCCCUUCAGAGGGGGACAACAGUUGGAAACGACUGCUAAUACCGCAUACGAUCUAACCUCGGCAUCGAGGAUAGAUGAAAGGUGGCCUCUACAUGUAAGCUAUCACUGAAGGAGGGGAUUGCGUCUGAUUAGCUAGUUGGAGGGGUAACGGCCCACCAAGGCGAUGAUCAGUAGCCGGUCUGAGAGGAUGAACGGCCACAGUGGGAACGAGACACGGCCCAGACUCCUACGGGAGGCAGCAGUGGGGAAUCUUCCGCAAUGGACGAAAGUCUGACGGAGCAACGCCGCGUGAGGGAUGACGGCCUUCGGGUUGUAAAGCUCUGUUAAUCGGGACGAAAGGCCUUCUUGCGAAUAGUGAGAAGGAUUGACGGUACCGGAAUAGAAAGCCACGGCUAACUACGUG
rnacentral:rRNA from 1 species